UCCUGUUUCGAAAGUGACUUUGGAGUGACUGGUCUCCAGGUCAUUGAUAUCACAGGAAGAGAAAACUGAAAGUCUUUCCCGUGUUUGCUGGAAUCUCCGUUCCUGACAAACCCUACAUCUUUCACACA